UUGUAAUAUGACCCGGUGGUGAUGUGUUCUCCACCUAUUUUUUUCAUUCUCCCCUCCCCCCCUCUCUCUCUCCGGUAUUUUUUUCCUCCUCCCCCUGGCGUCCCACAGCCCUCCCCUGCCGAGUCGUGUGCGAGACGAGGCCGCAUCCGGGCGCCGCCGGCCGUCCUCCUCCUCGUCCAGGUGUCGCCGGCCGUCCUCAUCCUCGUCUAGGCGUCGCCGGCCGUCCUCCUCGUCCAGGUGUCGCCGGCCGUCCUCCUCCUCGUCCAGGUGCCGCCGGCCCUCCUCCUCCUCCUCCGCCGCUCCAUCCUCGUCGCUGCCCCGCCUCCCCGUUGGCUGCAACACCCCCGCCCCCUCGGAGGUCUCAAUCUACAGCCAUCCCUCUAGCUCGGUCGUCUCUACCUCGUCUUCCUCCUCAGCACCUAUCUUGCUGCCUUCAAGGACGUCAUCUCCAAGAUCCACUACAAGAUUAUCAUCUCCUAACUUUUUUGGAUCAGGUAAGCCAAAAGCCCAAAACUAGAUAGCAGGUUGUGUUGUCAGUAGUUGGGUUGGAUAAUAGCUUAGCCUGAUUUUCAUUUACUCUGGUGAUGAUGUAGAGGAUUUUGGUUGCUCUUUUUUUCCCUUCUGAUUGUUGAUGUAGAGAACCAAUUAGAUAGUGAAUCUUGUAGCAUUAACUUUGGUUUGCAAUCUAUGCUUAUUUUAGCUAUUGAUUGUCAGCUAUAAAAAAUUGACUCCUCAAAUCAAAGCACAUAUUCCAAUUGUAGCUGUCUCAAAGUAUGAAUUCAAAUAGUGUUUUUAGAUCACAAUCUAAUAUCAUAUAUUGUUGAUAACUUGGAGCACUCAAAUUGUUACAGUCCAUCUAUUGUGAAUUGUGACAGCAAGAGUUGAAUACGAAUUAAUUUGUUUCUAACAGAUGACAGUUGUUUCUAUAUUUACAUGCUAUACCACUGGUAGUGGUGAGCUUAUGGACUCUGCAGCUGAGGGUGUUAGUGGUGCGCUUGCUAGUUGCAUCAGAUUACUCUUUGCAAUUUCUUUAUCAGUGCCAUGUCUCCUCGAGUAUCUGCCUGCCUGUCCAACUUGCUAGUGCUAGCUUUAUGUGUCUAUCUAGCUAGUUGUACCAGCAAAGAUUAUCUUUUCUUUUCUGUUAAUCCUUUUCAAUUCUUGGUUGCUGGUGAUAGUUGAACUAAUCAGGCUUUGCUUUGCACCAUUUCGCUUUUGGAGCUCUUCUUUUGUCUGAUGAAUAUUCUACUUGAGCAUCAUUCAUGCCUCUGUUUGUACCACAGCAUUGUGCAUCUUUUUAAAUAGAGGCAUGAAUGCUGUUUCUGUUUGUACCACAACAUUGUGCAACAGAAGGUUGUAGAUGCAGGAUUCAGUUCAUAGCUCAAUAAUGCAGUUCCUGGAGUAUGGAAUAUGGGCUUAA